rnacentral:rRNA from 1 species
AUGAACGCUAGCGGCAGGCUUAAUACAUGCAAGUCGAACGGGAUUCGGUGUAGCAAUACAUUGAUGAGAGUGGCGCACGGGUGCGUAACGCGUAUGCAACCUACCUUUAACAGGUGAAUAGCCCCGAGAAAUCGGGAUUAAUACACCGUAACAUUGCGGGAUGGCAUCAUUCUGCAAUUAAAGAUUUAUCAGUUAAAGAUGGGCAUGCGUGACAUUAGCUAGUUGGUGAGGUAACGGCUCACCAAGGCGACGAUGUCUAGGGGUCCUGAGAGGGUUAUCCCCCACACUGGUACUGAGACACGGACCAGACUCCUACGGGAGGCAGCAGUAAGGAAUAUUGGUCAAUGGGCGCAAGCCUGAACCAGCCAUGCCGCGUGCAGGAAGACGGCCCUAUGGGUUGUAAACUGCUUUUGUCAGGGAAUAAACCUGUCUACGAGUAGGCAGCUGAAGGUACCUGAAGAAUAAGCAUCGGCUAACUCCGUG